rnacentral:rRNA from 1 species
AUGCUCCCUUCCGUUGUCGCCAACCUCCUCCGCUUCCAUGACCACACCACCGCCUUCCUCGCUGCUUCCGGCAGUAGUUUCGUGCUUCGUGGGCCUGCCAUGCACUUCUUCAUCACCUGCGACCCGGCCAAUGUUCGCCACAUCUUCGUCUCCAACUUCACAAAUUAUCCCAAGGGCGAGGAGUUCGGUGCCAUCUUCGACGCCAUGGGGAACAGCUUCUUCAACGCGGACGGCGAGUCAUGGCCACGCCAGCGUGGCAGAGUGCAGCACCUCAUGUCGAGCCCACAGCUGCUGGCUUACAUGGCCCGCUGCUGCCGCGAUAAGUUGGAGAAAGGCCUCCUCCCCUUCUUGGCGCGCAUGGACAGCCUAAUCCCGUUCGAUAUGCAGGACCUGUUUACCAGGUUCACAUUCGACAUGACGGCCAUGUCGGUCUUCGGGGUCGACCCUGGCCUUCUGACCACCGAUAUGCCACCUAUAAUUGUGUCGAACGCCAUGGAAGCUGUCAUGGAUGUAGGCUUCUUCUGGAACAUGGUGCCAGCAUCUUGCUGGAAGUUGAUGAAGCGUCUAAAAAUUGGCCCAGAGCGGAAGCUCGCCGCGGCGCAAUUGGAGCUGUGCCGGUUUGUCACGGAGAUGAUGGAGAAAAGGGGAGAUAGAUCGGUCCACAUGGAUGAAGAGCAAGAGAACAGUAAUGUAGAAAUAGUUUCUUCCUACAUCCAUGACCCAGGGUAUAUUGACGACCAUGGAAAACCUAAUGGCUUCAUGUACGCCACCCUGAUCAAUUACAUGUUUGCUGGACGUGACACGAUCGGCACGACCCUCACCUGGCUCUUCUACAACCUCAUCAAAUACCCGCACAUCGCGUCGAGCAUUAGAAGAAAACUAGCUCCCAUUGCCAUGCACAAAGCAAAAAACUCCACCACCAUGGUAACCUUUGAGCCAGAGGAGACAUAG